ACAGGAAGUGAGAUGGUUUUGAACAGUUUUAAAGUGACAGUGAAUUCUUGCAAUGCUCUUAAAAACAUCCUCCCACAGAUUCACACUUUGAGCAGACUUACUGAUGAAUCACUUGAGGAAGCCGCCAAGUUAAUUUCCCUGUUGAGGGUGAGCUCUGGGAGCCCCUUGUCUCUCCCUACCUACCCCCUAUUUGGUUACAAAUGGCAAUAGCAGAGGGUGGAUAUGAAUGAAUGAGGGCAAGGGCUGUGACUUUUCCACUCACCCUUUUAUCCCCAGCACACACCGGGCAGCACCAUACAGCUGUUUGUUGGAUGAGUUAAUGAAUCACCAAAUUACCGGGCCAGCCAAUGGGACGCCUUCUGUGUCUCCUAGCGGGUCAGCCUCUCUGCCAAUUGCGUGUGCUGGAUGAAUGCCCGCAAUCCCAUAAUGCCGCUCACCUCGGGGCACUCCCUGGAGCACACAUGUUUGGGCAUUGCUAGUCUCUGCUGUCCUGGUUCUGUUUCCCUUUGUCCACACUCCGUUCUCCCUCUGGCUGGUCAUUGGCCUGCCAGAUUUAGGUCCCUCUUGGGAACUGCCUGGACACUUGGUCUGCUUCCCUGCUUACAGAGGACAGGCAGGAGGAGACUUGUCACAGAUCUCUCACCAAGCAUGUGUCACCAGCCCCGUGUCUGCAUGAACCUGCUCAUGAAGGCUGUGAGAGGCGGGGUUCCUGGAAGGGAAGGCUAUUUUUAUGUUCCAAGCCAACACACUGGAGAGUUCUGGGAAUGCAGCAUGGAUCCAACUUCUUUGAGAGAGACUGAAAGGAGAAGAUAAGUGCUAGCUCUCAAGCUGAAAAUACCACAGAGAUCUCUGCUUCUCAGCAAGGUCUGUUUUCCAGGUAUUUUGUGAGAUAAUAAGAAGGGACACAAUCCAAUUAAGAAAAUAGACCAUCAAGUGGCAGAAAAAUUGUAAAGGGAUGUUGAAAUGGUGAAGACUUUUGUUAAUCUGAAUGGAGGGCCUCAUACCAUUCUGAAGAGUAUUAAUUUAUGCAUGUCCGUUAGCCAACAGAGAGGCAUGAAGGCAAAGGGCAAACCUGGCAAAACUUGCAUCAUUCUGAAGAAUAUCAGAGUUCAUGGGUUGAGAGAAAUCUGGAUGCAUGCGGGAAGUUGUUAGCGUUUGUGUUUCUUUUGAAACAUUGUUGAUGCCUUUCCUUGAUGAAAAGCUGCCUGUUUGUCACUGAACAGUUAGGGCGAUAAAGUGCUGAAGCAUCCAUGUGCAUCAAUCACAGUAUUCUCUAAGGGGAAAAAGAAAAGGGAGGGCUUAAAUCUUUGUAGCCUGAAUUUCCAGUAAGGAGCAACUGAUCACUCUACUAGCCAAAACCUUGCCAAUAAUGGAUUAUUUGAGAGGCAGAAAAUGGAAAGCACUUGAUUUGUACAACUGUUGGCUUGUUGGUACUUGGUGUCUGAUACCAAAAUGAUGAAACCAAGUUGAGAGUAGAGGCUCUUCUUCAGAGAUGUAAGAAUUGUUCCUUGUGAAAUGCUGCUUAUUCAUUGUUUUGUGUGUACUCUGCUUUUAAUGUUCCUUUUUGUUUUACCACUACCACUCUCAAAAAUAUAAAGGACAAUAAUCCAAUCUUUGAAAUUAAAGUCCCAGUGCAAUAGUAAAAUGAAAAAAUAACCAAUAGUCUUAGUUGAAAAUAUGUAUAACCAUGACCAACAUGUGAUUUUUAGGCGGAAAUAGAUUCUUUGUGAUAGGAGUUAGGACUGUGGGAG
ensembl:lncRNA